UCUAAUACGCUCUCUCUUCCUGCUGCAGCUCACGCUCUUGCUAACCCUGGAGGACAAGCUGCACCGACAGUUAAGCUACGACCUGCUGCCAACUGACAGUUCCAAGGGCUUGGCCUCAGAGCUGGUGCACUACGGAUUCAUCCAUGAGGAUGACUGUGAAAUGCUGGCCAACUUCCUAGAAAAUGCUUUUCACAAGCACCGGUCUCCUCCCUUGUGAGUCACCCCGAUGAGUUCUGGGCAGAGAGGUGCCCCCCAAAGGAGGAUGGGAACUGUCCCAGGCCAGAAGGAACUGUGGGGCUCUUGAUCAGGCUUUCCGCUGCAGAGGUGACCUUGCCAUUUGUUCCUGGCUGUAUCUCUACUGUCCAUCCAGCCUGUGAUUCAGAAAGAAAAUGGCAAGAAGAGAAAGGACCAGCAAACAUGAGGCAUUUGACAUGCGUCGUUGUUACCAGGAUCCCGCCAAGAAUGUGCUCUCCAGCCUCCACUUCUGAAGGAGGCCAGGGCGAGCGGUGAGGUGGUUUUAGGAGUGGAGGAUCAUGCAGGAAGCUUCUGGUUGCAGGGUUUUUGAAGAUGCAAAGCUGCUGCAAGAGCCCACAACUGGUAAAUUUACCUCUGGGAGCAAGAAGCACCUUCACUGUGGGCCAUCACUUCGCUUCCUCAGCUGGAAAUGGUCACAGCAGGGAGUGAAAGAGUGGGGGGAAGUGCAGGUUUGGGAGGAUCUUGAGCAGUUUCCUGUCUGCCAUAUUCCACUCCUUUUCCAGGCCUGAUUCCUCCUGCUCUGCUGGAGGGCAAAGGAGCCAUUGCGAUGCCUUAUAAUAAGAACUGGACUCCCUCUGCUAGGCUGAGGAGAGGACAUUGUGAGCUUGACUGACAGGGCAUGGGAAGAAAUUGCAGGAAUCCAGAACCAUCAGGUGGUUCAUAAAAUAUGGACCAACAGAACCACCACUGGUGCUGAGCACAGCCUCUGUCAUUUCAGUUAGUGAAUUUUUGGAAGGCUAAGAGACAAAGUGAAAUGUGGAAUUUCCAUCAUUAGACGGGAGAGUGGGGGCAAAUAUAGCUGCUGAUUUGUCAGGUUCAAGAUUGGUGUAUUAUGCAAAUAGGAAUUGUGUAUCAAUGGCUGUGCCAUGCUGCUCUGCCUGCACCUCGCUGCUCUGAGUGUACUGUUCACACUAUGCCAUAUGGGCCACGCUGCACUGA